UACGGAGGGGGUUAGCGUUGUUCGGAAUGACUGGGCGUAAAGCGCGCGUAGGCGGAUCGGAAAGUCGGGGGUGAAAUCCCGGGGCUCAACCCCGGAAUGGCCUUCGAAACUCCCGGUCUUGAGUUCGAGAGAGGUGAGUGGAAUUCCGAGUGUAGAGGUGAAAUUCGUAGAUAUUCGGAGGAACACCAGUGGCGAAGGGCGGACUCACUGGCUCGACACUGACGCUGAGGUGCGAAAGCGUGGGGAGCAAACAGG
rnacentral:rRNA from 1 species